CCUACGGGGGGCUGCAGUGGGGGAUAUUGCACAAUGGGGGAAACCCUGAUGCAGCGACGCCGCGUGGGUGAAGAAGUAUUUCGGUAUGUAAAGCCCUAUCAGCAGGGAAGAAGAAAUGACGGUACCUGAGUAAGAAGCACCGGCUAAAUACGUGCCAGCAGCCGCGGUAAUACGUAUGGUGCAAUCGUUAUCCGGAUUUACUGGGGGUAAAGGGAGCGCAUGCGGCACGGCAAGCCUGAUGGGAAAGCCCGGGGCCCAACCGCGGGACUGCAUUGGGAACUACCGGGCUGGAGUGACGGAGAGGUAGGCGGAACUCCUAGUGGAGCGGUGAAAUGCGUAGAUAUUAGGAGGAACACCAGUGGAGAAGGCGGCCUACUGGACGGUGACUGACGCUGAGGCUCGAAAGCGUGGGGAGCAAACAGGAUUAGAUACCCCUGUAGUC
rnacentral:rRNA from 1 species